GCUCCGUUGGUGAACCAGCGGAGGGAUCAUUAAAGAGUUGCAAAACUCCCAAACCAUUGUGAACAUACCUUCAACGUUGCUUCGGCGGGUUGGCCCCGGUCUCCGGGGUCCCCGGCCCUCACGGGCGCCCGCCGGAGGUACCUAACUCUUGAACUUCUAUGGCCUCUCUGAGUCUUUGUACUUAACAAGUCAAAACUUUCAACAACGGAUCUCUUGGUUCUG
rnacentral:misc_RNA from 1 species